UACAGAGGUCUCAAGCGUUGUUCGGAUUCAUUGGGCGUAAAGGGCGCGUAGGCGGCGGGGUAAGUCGGGUGUGAAAUCUCAGAGCUCAACUCUGAAACUGCACUCGAUACUGCUCUGCUUGAGGACUGGAGAGGAGACUGGAAUUCACGGUGUAGCAGUGAAAUGCGUAGAUAUCGUGAGGAAGACCAGUGGCGAAGGCGGGUCUCUGGACAGUUCCUGACACUGAGACACGAAGGCCAGGGGAGCAAACGGG
rnacentral:rRNA from 1 species